GGAUGUACUGGAUGGGAGUUGCUUUCGCAUCAAAGCAAGAGGACUGCUUCGUAUAGUACUUCAACGUUCGACUAUAAGAUUGUUCUGUGUGUUUUGUGAGAAGCUCUCGAGAGAGUUGCUGCUGCAUUCAGUGAAAGUUUUUCCAAAGAUAAUCUGUUUUAUCUGCGGACAGAUAACAAAUAUGUCUUGCAAAAAAUCGAACAAUUUAGAUACAGUUUAAUCAAAUUUAAGAAAGAAAUACAAUCCCGUAUCAUUGCCAUUGUUUCUAAUGUCAAAUGAAGGUUAGUCUCUAUAAAUCCCUAAGAAAAAUUAACUCUAGGUAAAGCCCAAGACGAAUCUUGUAAUGACUAUAAGCAAAUGAUACAAGAUAUUGUAUUGGGGUUUAGUGCAGACCCGAGACCAGAGAGCAGAAAAAGAAGAGGACCAGUCAGCCUGUCGGCAAUUGUGGUUAAUCAGGGGAUAGUAACCUCUACGGAAAGCAGCAGAAUAGAUGGUCAGCCGGGAGGUGGAGAAAAGGGAGAGUGGAGAAGAGAAGCCACUAAAACAACAUCAAAGUGCUACCCGGACCUCAACCGCGACGGGCGACACCCAUAAUCAUGUUGAAUGAAUGAAGCGCAAGUGAAAGAGAAAGAGAAUGAUGAGAUGAUGAUGUUGAAAAAAGAAGCAACAUGGAACAUGCAGCAACAGGAGAAGAGUUCAGUAGAGUGCAAUGCAUGAAUUGGAAUUUUGCAGUAAAUACCCUUUAAAGAAGAAUUUAAAUUGAAGUAACUUUGAUACAAGAAUGUAGAAAUAUGGAUAGAAAAUGAAUAAAGUUGGGGGAAAUUUCACAUGGAAGAGUAUUCCCUACUUCGAUCUCUUGGAUUCCUCCUCUGCUUCCUUUCUGUUGUAUUUGGUGUUUAUAGUUUUGUGUCAACGUUGCAGCCAUGUCCAGCGGAUGCAUUCAUUUAAGUCAUGGAUGGCUUUGUUGGCGCGGGGUCAAGCAAUGACUGGCUGCUGGCUGCCGUGCCAGAAUUUCCCCUAUCUUCUGUGUUGGUCAGUUUUUCAUAGUUGAUUAUAACUUUGGCUGUCGCCGAUCGGUGCCUUUGCUGCCUUUGCUACUGCAUUCAAUUUUCGUUUGUUUUGUGUCCAAGUUAUGCGGAAAUUAAUGCGAAAAUGGUGUUCAUACUUGUUUUUGGGUGUGGUUUGGUGAGCACAGGCCCGGGCCAUUUUUAGACAUUGCAGACAGCAGAAGCAGGAGCAACACCAGAGACUGCAGCCUGCCACAAAAUAUCAAGAAAAAUUCGCAUUAAUUGUCAACGAACAUGCGCAACGCGUGUGUCGGCCAACGUGUGCUGAGGGGACACACACUCGGAGCGUUGCAUUUGCGAAAAUAAUUGCAUUUUACCAUUAACAUUUAAUGCAAAUGCAACGCCAUAACCAGACCCAGUCGCAGACCUGGCCCAGAACCGAGCCCCACCCUCUGCUUUGUGACGUGGCAAAAAUGCAUUUUCCAAAAAGGUACAUUAACCCGCUAAAACUGCUGCACUGACCGACCGACCACAACGAACAGUGUCAGUCGGUGGCCAUAUUGCCACCGGUAAACGCGCGGUUUUAGCUAGGCUGCACAUUUUCUAUUCGAUUUUCGGCUACCGAAGUUACAUACUUUUUAACGACUUUUUUGUUUGAGACUUUGAGGCAGGUUUUGGCUGUAAGUUUGCUUAAAACUUGAUCUGAAAUAAAUAGUCUUCCAAAAUGAGGUUAAUUUUCGCCUCAACAACGCAUGAAAAUGAAACCUUCCUCAAUCUAAAUCUCAAUUGUAGUUUAAACAUUUGACGGCCGCUCGGGAGCCGCCUCAAAAUUCACGGACACUAGCAAAAACCAAAUACGGGGCAUGAACGAAAAAACGUUCCAUAAAAACGUUCCAUAGAUGAGUUUUUACACAUUAUUUUUCGGGUAUUGUCAAUGGAAAUUCGUUCAAUGGAAAUUCAAUAUUACACAUAACUAAUGUCUGGGAAAAAGUCAUGAAUAUAUUUGUGUUUCUGAGAAUCGCAAUGAGUCGUGUCUCGUCGUGUGGCGUUUAGCUUAGUUUUAUGUUGUGCGGAUCGUGUGUGUAAGUUGAAUGUCUCUUUUUUAUAACUUUUUGGGUAAUGGCCAAAACAAACUUCAAUCUCCUUGGGUUAUUUUUAGAACUUGGGCGGUAGAACUGUGCAGAGUACGAAACAUGUCGGACUGUUGCUAAAACUAGCAUCAAAGCAACAAGCUAUUUACAUCGAUGUGAUGAGCGAAUGAAAGGCGUUAAUAAUGUAGUGGAUAUAGUAGCCAGUGUCAGUACAGACACAGAUACAGACACAGACACUGCGCAUUUCGGAAUCAAUUAAAGCGAUGCCAAUGAGAGAUUUCAAUCAAUGCACACACGGAACAUCAAACCGCACCCUAGAGAGGGUCUAGACAAAGUAUUAUGGCGUUAUAUUCCAUCCAUCCAGCCAAACAGAUGGUUAACAAAAUGCAAAAAAUAUCAGCAAUAAUUAGAUUAUGCGGAAAUACUCGUAAUCAAGUGAGGGCCACGACAGGCUGUGAGCACACCUCUGCGUGUGUCUUUAUGAUUUAUGAAUCUCCCCUCAAGCGUAAGAUUAUUUAUGCAAUUAUAAAGGCAAAACACUCGUAUACAUUUAUUUGCUGAUAUAAUCUCUAAGACUGGUCCUUCCAUGCGAAAAACAAUUACAGAUAUUAGUGAAAAACUUUGCUGAAUAGUGUGGACCACAGGUACGAGGAGAAGCUUUCCUG
rnacentral:lncRNA from 1 species